UAUGUGAUCGUCUCUCGCAUAUCAAUAAGCGGAGGAAAAGAAACUAACAAGGAUUCCCCUAGUAACGGCGAGUGAAGCGGGAAGAGCUCAAAUUUGAAAUCUUAAAGGGUUUCCCUUUACGAAUUGUAGUUUAAAGAAGUGUUUUCUGUUGAGGUUUUGGUAAAAGUUCUUUGGAAUAGGACAUCAUAGAGGGUGAGAAUCCCGUAUUUGACCUUUACUUUCAACUUUGUGAUACACUUUCAAAGAGUCGGAUUGUUUGGGAAUGCAGUCCAAAAUGGGUGGUAAAUUUCAUCUAAAGCUAAAUAUUGGCGAGAGACCGAUAGCGAACAAGUACCGUGAGGGAAAGAUGAAAAGAACUUUGAAAAGAGAGUUAAGCAGUACGUGAAAUUGUCAAAAGGGAAGCGUAUGACACCAGUGUUGUUUUUCUGAAAAUCAAUUAAAGAACUGUUUAUGCUAAGCUGUUUAGACUUUAUCAGCUAACUGUUUAGUUUUGAGCUUUUCUUUAAUGCACUUUUCAGUUAACAAGUCAACAUCAAUUUCUUUUGCUGUAAAAAAGCUUGAGGAAGGUGGCUUGAGAUUCGUCUUAAGUGUUUAUAGCCUCUUGCCUAUGCAGUCGGAGAGAUUGAGGUCUGCAGCGUAGAUCCUUCGGGGCUAAAUGCAUUUGUGCUAAGUUAUAGCAUUUUAUAGACAACUUGUUGACUAUGAUUUGUCUUGUAGCUUACUCGCUUAUGUUAUUUUACCUACGCUUAGGAUGUUGAGUAGCGACAUACGCAC
rnacentral:rRNA from 1 species